rfam:Desulfovibrio gracilis DSM 16080 genome assembly, contig: BR08DRAFT_scaffold00042.42
UCCUAAGUAAUAAAGGGCGUCUGGUGGAUGCCUUGGCGCUAGGAGGCGAUGAAGGACGUGGUAGGCUGCGAUAUGCGCCGGCGAGCCGCCAAGCAGGCUUUGACCCGGUGAUUUCCGAAUGGGGCAACCCGGCGGGGUUCAUACCCCGUCAUCCCUUGGCUGAAUACAUAGGCCUUGGGAGGCGAACUCGGUGAAGUGAAACAUCUCAGUAACCGAAGGAAGAAAAAUCAAUAGAGAUUCCCAAAGUAGCGGCGAGCGAAAUGGGAUUAGCCCAAACCGGAUGGUUUCGAUCAUCCGGGGUUGUAGGACCGGUAUACGUGAUCCACAAUUAGAUAGGAGAACAGGCUGGGAAGCCUGGGCACAGAGGGUGAAACCCCCGUAUCUGAAAUCGAACGUGGCAUAACCGGCACCUGAGUACCGCGGGACACGAGAAACCCCGUGGGAAUCCGGGAGGACCAUCUUCCAAGGCUAAAUACUUCCUAGCGACCGAUAGCGAACCAGUACCGUGAGGGAAAGGUGAAAAGAACCCCUGUUAGGGGAGUGAAAUAGAACCUGAAACCAGGCGCCUACAAGCUGCGGGAGCGGACUUGUUCCGUGACCGUGUGCUUUUUGCAUAACGGGCCAGCGAGUUACUGUGUAGUGCGAGGUUAAGCUUUUUGCGGAGCCGUAGCGAAAGCGAGUCUGAAUAGGGCGACAAGUACUGCGCAGUAGACCCGAAGCCGGGUGAUCUAUCCAUGAGCAGGUUGAAGCUCGGGUAAAACCGAGUGGAGGACCGAACCAGUAUCAGUUGAAAAUGAUUUGGAUGACUUGUGGAUAGGGGUGAAAGGCCAAUCAAACCCGGUGAUAGCUGGUUCUCCCCGAAAUAUAUUGAGGUAUAGCCUCGGAUUAGUUUUGCGGAGGUAGAGCACUGACAGGGCUAGGGGUCCCACCAGAUUACCAAACCCUAUCAAACUCCGAAUGCCGUAAAAUGUUGUCCGGGAGUCAGACUGCGGAUGCGAAGGUCCGUAGUCGAGAGGGAAACAGCCCAGAUCGACAGCUAAGGUCUCCAAAUCCAUACUAAGUGGUCAAGGUGGUGAUUCUGCUUAGACAUCCAGGAGGUUGGCUUAGAAGCAGCCAUCCUUUAAAGAAAGCGUAAUAGCUCACUGGCCUAGCGGAGUUGCGCCGAAAAUGUAACGGGGCUCAAGUAUGGUACCGAAGCUUCGGGAUCGUCUUUGACGAUCGGUAGGGGAGCGUUCUCAGAUGGGAUGAAGGUGAACCGUAAGGUUUGCUGGACUAAUGAGAAGUGAUUAUGCUGGCAUGAGUAACGAUAAAAGAAGUGAGAAACUUCUUCGCCGUAAGCCCAAGGUUUCCUGGGUAAAGCUAAUCUGCCCAGGGUAAGUCGGCCCCUAAGGCGAGGCUGAAAAGCGUAGCCGAUGGGAAACAGGUUAAUAUUCCUGUACCUGUGCAUGUGUGCGACGGGGGGACGCAGGAAGAUAGGUGAUCCGGGUGUUGGAUAUCCCGGUGCAAGCGAGUAGGCUGGUCUGGUAGGCAAAUCCGCCGGACUAAGGCCGAGACGUUAUGCCGUGUCUUUAUCGACUGAAGUCACUGAUUCUACACUGCCUAGAAAAGCCUCUAAGUUUAGCAUGUGCAGACCGUACCGCAAACCAACACAGGUAGGCGGGUCGAGCAGACCAAGGCGCUUGAGAGAACUCUGGUUAAGGAACUCGGCAAAAUGACCCCGUAAGUUAGCGAUAAGGGGUGCUCCGGAAGGUAAGGUUACUUGCUUUCCAAGCUUUCUGGAGCCGCAGAGAAUCGGGGGGGGCGACUGUUUACUAAAAACAUAGGUCUAUGCGAAGUCGUAAGACGAAGUAUAUGGACUGACGCCUGCCCGGUGCCGGAAGGUUAAGGGGUGGAGUUAGCUAUGCGAAGCUCUAAACCGAAGCCCCGGUAAACGGCGGCCGUAACUAUAACGGUCCUAAGGUAGCGAAAUUCCUUGUCGGGUAAGUUCCGACCUGCACGAAUGGCGUAACGAUCUCCCCACUGUCUCAACCAGAGACUCAGUGAAAUUGAAUUCCCGGUGAAAAUGCCGGGUACCCGCAGAAGGACGGAAAGACCCUGUGCACCUUUACUACAGCUUGACAUUGGGUCUAGGGCUAUCAUGUGUAGGAUAGGUGGGAGGCUUUGAAAUCGGCACGCUAGUGUCGGUGGAGCCAACCUUGAAAUACCACCCUUGGUAGUCUUGGAUUCUAAUCCAGAGCCGUUAUCCGGCCUGGAGACAGUGUCUGGUGGGUAGUUUGACUGGGGCGGUCGCCUCCUAAAGAGUAACGGAGGCUUGCAAAGGUUCCCUCAGGCUGAUUGGAAACCAGCCGUUGAGUGCAAAGGCAUAAGGGAGCUUGACUGUAAGACAGACAUGUCGAGCAGGAACGAAAGUUGGUCUUAGUGAUCCGGUGAUCCCGAAUGGAAGGGUCAUCGCUCAUAGGAUAAAAGGUACGCCGGGGAUAACAGGCUGAUCGCAUCCAAGAGUUCACAUCGACGAUGCGGUUUGGCACCUCGAUGUCGGCUCAUCACAUCCUGGGGCUGAAGCAGGUCCCAAGGGUUCGGCUGUUCGCCGAUUAAAGUGGUACGCGAGCUGGGUUUAAAACGUCGUGAGACAGUUUGGUCCCUAUCCUCUGUGGGCGUUGGAGAAUUGAAGAGGGGCUGCCCCUAGUACGAGAGGACCGGGGUGGACGAACCUCUGGUGUUCCUGUUGUCACGCCAGUGGCAUUGCAGGGUAGCUAUGUUCGGAAAGGAUAACCGCUGAAGGCAUCUAAGCGGGAAGCCCGCCUCAAGAUAAGUUCUCCCUCUCUUCGGAGCUGAAGACCCCUGGAAGACCACCAGGUUGAUAGGCCGGAGGUGUAAGCGUGGCGACACGUUCAGCUGACCGGUACUAAUAGGUCGUGCGACUUAGGAAA